UGUGCCUACGGGGGGCAGCAGUGGGGAAUAUUGGGCAAUGGGCGCAAGCCUGACCCAGCAACGCCGCGUGAAGGAAGAAGGCCCUCGGGUUGUAAACUUCUUUUGUCAGGGACGAAGCAAGUGACGGUACCUGACGAAUAAGCCACGGCUAACUACGUGCCAGCAGCCGCGGUAAUACGUAGGUGGCAAGCGUUAUCCGGAUUUACUGGGUGUAAAGGGAGCGUAGACGGCUGUGCAAGUCUGAAGUGAAAUGCCGGGGCCCAACCCCGGAACUGCUUUGGAAACUGUACAGCUAGAGUGCAGGG
rnacentral:rRNA from 1 species